CGCGGGGUGGAGCAGUCUGGUAGCUCGUCGGGCUCAUAACCCGAAGGUCGUCAGUUCAAAUCUGGCCCCCGCAA
rnacentral:tRNA from 1 species